rnacentral:ncRNA from 1 species
GAGAGCCGUAUGUAGGAAAACUACAAGUACGGUUCGGUGAGGGCUUUCAUAGUAAUAACGCAAUAAUAGUAAAGGUUAGAAUUAUGGAUUCUACUCUAC